CGGGUUUGGUAGUGGCGGACGGGUGAGUAACGCGUAGGUAUCUAUCCUUGGGUGGGGGAUAACCGUGGGAAACUGCGGCUAAUACCGCAUGACACCUGUGGGUCAAAGGCGCAAGUCGCCUGGGGAGGAGCCUGCGUACGAUUAGCUAGUUGGUGGGGUAAAGGCCUACCAAGGCUACGAUCGUUAGCUGGUCUGAGAGGAUGAUCAGCCACAUUGGGACUGAGACACGGCCCAA
rnacentral:rRNA from 1 species